ACCUCUGUAGCUCAAGGUGCUAGCCUGUGAACUGAUUUUCGGUUUGCAGGCGUCGUGGGUUCGAAUCCCACCGGAGGCA